UUUCUGUUUGAUGUCUAGACUCCAGAGGCUUCUAUUCCAUUAUUAGGGUUUUGAGUUUCUCUCAUUAGGAUUUUGAGUUUCUUUCCCCUUUGCCUUUUUUUUUGGAUGGACCCCUGGUUCCAGUCUUCCAUCGAUAAUUAAGUUUCUCUCGUUAGGAUUUCUCACUCUCUUCUCAGAAUUCAGAGGAUCUCCAAGCCCCA
rnacentral:lncRNA from 1 species